AUUGAACGCUGGCGGCAGGCUUAACACAUGCAAGUCGAGCGGGGGAAGGUAGCUUGCUACCGGACCUAGCGGCGGACGGGUGAGUAAUGCUUAGGAAUCUGCCUAUUAGUGGGGGACAACAUCUCGAAAGGGAUGCUAAUACCGCAUACGUCCUACGGGAGAAAGCAGGGGAUCUUCGGACCUUGCGCUAAUAGAUGAGCCUAAGUCGGAUUAGCUAGUUGGUGGGGUAAAGGCCUACCAAGGCGACGAUCUGUAGCGGGUCUCAGAGGAUGAUCCGCCACACUGGGACUGGGAGACGGCCCAGCAUCCUACGGGAGGCAGCAGUGGGGAAUAUUGGACGAUGGGGGGAACCCUGAUCCAGCCAUGCCGCGUGUGUGAAGAAGGCCUUAUGGUUGUAAAGCACUUUAAGCGAGGAGGAGGCUACUUUAGUUAAUACCUAGAGAUAAUGGACGGUACUCGCAGAAUAAGCACCGGCUAACUCUGUG
rnacentral:rRNA from 1 species